UACGAAGGGGGCUAGCGUUGCUCGGAUUGACUGGGCGUAAAGGGCGCGUAGGCGGCUUGUACAGUCAGACGUGAAAUUCCUGGGCUCAACCUGGGGGCUGCGUUUGAUACGUAUGGGCUUGAGUUCGGAAGAGGGUCGUGGAAUUCCCAGUGUAGAGGUGAAAUUCGUAGAUAUUGGGAAGAACACCAGUGGCGAAGGCGGCUCACUGGUCCGGUACUGACGCUGAGGUGCGAAAGCGUGGGGAGCAAACAGG
rnacentral:rRNA from 1 species